ensembl:lncRNA
CUCAAUUGUUACAGUAUUCUGAAAAGACUGACAGGUCCGUCAGCCAAUCCCAGUCGUCGCUUGUCUCAAUUAUCAGAAAAACACACAAAAAAAUGGAAAGGAUGGGACCUUGUCUCAAAUACCAUGGCCCAACUGCUGUUUCACUUUUCAGGUAUGGUCCAAUCAUUUUCGUCCCUUGAGUUCAGCCCCGACUGCAUAACAGUUUUCAUCGGGUUUACGGUAGUCAUUACAAUUUCAGAGCAUUUCUCAAAGUGCACACUAAAGUCGAACUUAACAAAAUAGCUGUCAUUACGAUGUCAUGUAUGCUUCGCGUCUGCGUUUAGGUUGACGUUAUCUUAUUUAGCGUCAUUAGCCAUUAGCUUUUUGGCAUGUUCAGCAUGUAGCGGUUGUACUGUACAGCUGUAUACAAGCUAACUAUAAACAUACAUUCACAGUAGUGAAGUACAGCUGGUUAUCUCAACUGAGAAAUCUGCAUUGUUAAUUGCACUUUUUCCUGACCAGGCUGUGGUGUGCAAGAAGCUGAGGCAGAGGCGUGGGCCCGUGUCGUCUCUGAGGGUGGUGACCCUGAUGCAGAGAUGCUGGUUCUGUGCCGGUAUACGGUUCAGUUCAGCGUGUACUGGGGUCAGACCUUUAAGUGGCUUCUGGAGAACGACGUGGGUUAGGGGCUGGUGGUUAGCCCAUCAGCAGGAGCGAGAGCGCAGCGUCUCCAGAUCUCUGCUGAUUGUCAGCAAGGACACCUUGACCCUCUACUCUAAUGCAUCACAGCCAAGACAGGAGAGCCACGCCCUUGUUGGCGUCCACAGAGACACUACAGAACCUGUAUAAAGACAAGGAUCACAUUGGAUAUGUCAACUGGCUAAGGAAGCAGACAUCCAGGAAACCUGGGGACCCUAUAGAAGCAGCCCUUAAAUACAUAAGGCACCCUGACUAGGAGGCAGCUACACCCCUUUCUCCACUUGCUGGCCUCUUGGUGCAGCAGUGGUCCCAGUGUUUUUGGGGCAGUGUUCAGUGGACAACUGCAUUCAACAGCGAGGAAGAUCCUUGCCCCAAAGACUGCAGUUCCUAGUAUCUUCAUAUUGGAGAAUUGCAAGAAACAUUAUAAUGAGCUCUUGAUGACUAAGACCACAUUUAACACACAUUUCUAUGUGUGAAGAGGAGGCUGCCCCAUGGCAGUCUUUCCUGCCUCCAAGGCCUGCACAUGCAAGUCCAGAGCUGCUGCAUCCUGAGAGCUGGCGGGCAUGUCUGAACAAAGAGCAGCAGCAGAUCGGCCGUACACUGUUCACCAGGAGUAGCACUGGGAGAUAUAAAAUUACCAGAGUUGGUCUGUGGUGGUACCCUCCCCAACCUUGGCUGACCUACAAUCAGCCACCUGAGUCGCCUGACCCCUUCUUUGCAUGUCCGCUGUUCCUCUACAUACAUGGUCAUUCAAGCUGGCACGCACCCGGCCUGGGUGUAACACUCUUCUCACCAAGGCUGGGCUUUACAAGACCAUCCAGAGAGUCUUGGAUGUCAAGGGCUAGUACCCCAUGGCCACGGAGUGUCUGCGUUCUUCCACCACAUUACAUGUGAAUUCAUUGGUGUUGAGUACCUGUACACCCAGACCAACAAAGUGCUGCAGGAAGUCAACCGGACCCCGACACUCCAGAUGAGGCUGAUGCUGUCGAGGGACCCCUGGAGGAUGAGGGCUUUGAGGAGACAGGAUAAGGACGCCACCACCCCAGCCUCGCUGCCGGCCUCGUUCUCCACUUCAGUAGUAGCCCCGCCAGGUAAUCCAGCUGAUGCACCCCUAUUUGUCAUGACAUUCUAAACCAAAUGUUUCCUGAAAGGCUUUUUAUUUUAUUUUUUUAAUGUAUUUGUAACAUUCAGAAGGAGUGCCAAGGGCCAGAUACCAGCAGGUCUGCAGGCUGGCCAAGAGGGUCUUCAGGGGCUCACGGAUCGAAAGGUAGACUGUCUGAUAGGACUGUGGCAAACACUACCGCAGCCAGAGGAGUUGUCGACACUUUCCGUCACCAGGACAGGCUCGAGCGCGGGCGGUUCAAAGCGAUUAAAGGGAAACUGCUGGAAAGGACAGUGUUCAAUGGUAUUUGGUUAAUAUAAUAAUUAUUUCAACAGUUGCCAUCCACUGCCAACACUAACAAGUAUUCUUUGUUCAAAUCUUUGUCUUUCAGUUGCUUUCUCAGACUUAACCCGGGUCCUGCUACGUGGCCAGGCGGCAGUCGCCUGGUCGAGGCCAUUUGCAGCCAGCUCUGUCACCAGCAUCCAUGCGGCCCUAAGAGGUGCAGGUGGGCGAUCCUCUUCAGUCAGAGAGGCGGUGCUGAACAGCCCAGGGUUGAUGGCCCAGACCAACACCACGGUCUAUGAGCUGAAGUCAGAGGACGGUCUAACAAUAGUAAGAUGAUGAUGAUACAUGUAGACAUUAUUAAUAAUUAGCAGCAUCAUGUUCCUGAUGGUCCUGUAGUCCUUCUGGAUGGCAGCCCACCUGUUGUCCCGCACACCAAGGACAGUCUGGCAAAGCUCCAAAAAGAAAGCCUCUACUGUGCUGCUAGUGUUGGGCCACAGGGCAGGUCCAGGUCCUUGUCCAAAUAGGGAGCUAAAAGGAUAUUAAAUUAUAAAAGACAACAUCUAUGAAGAACACAAAACACCCUGUUUAGUGAGAAAGUGAUUUCGGCACAAAGUGCAGUACUUACCGCUUCAUGCUAUCUUCCCCCUCGACUGCUGUGGUCUUUGAGGAGACUCAUCUUGUUCGCCUCUGGAAGAUUCUCUCACAGGGCGAUUAUCUCUUUGGGCAUGCCGAGUCGAGAUCGACAGCCUCUCCAAGAGUCUCAUCAGACUUUUGGCAAGGAGAACGACAUGUUGAUACCCGACAACCCCAUCAGGACUUGUGUACUCCUGGAAAUAUGAAGUGUAAUUGCAAGGGGUUGGAUUAUUGGAUAUGAAUAAGAAAAGAAAAAAAAUGACGAUGUGAGCGGUUUGUGAUGUGGAUAUGCACUUACAUCCUCCUCCAGGUCCUGACAGAUAGUAGGGGGCAAUGGAGCAGCCUUCUUGAGGUAAGGAAGAGCCUAGUCACGCUGUUCCCAAGUGUACGCUCCCUCGUCUAUUCUGACUACCUUCAGGUCACAGGACAGCCUGAUACACCAUGGGAAUUAACCGAAAAGCCAAGAUCGCUGAGAACUUGUGUCCACCUGGUUAAGGACAUCCAGUGACCAACCUGCCAACUUCUUUUCACAGGGGUUGCAUUCUAGAUAUUCCAUCCCCAUUAAAUACCAUCCAUCGAUGUCAAGCACCUUCCGGACAGUCCUGUACACCACGCAACGUGUUAGCCUGUGGCGCUUGCACUGUGGCAAACAAAGUUUGGGGCACAGGUCAUUUGAUAUUAGUAUUGAAUUAUUAGUAUUAGUACUGAAACCAAUGACAUCAGAAUAUAUACUUGCCAGAAUUAGGUGUUUUGGCUGGAGUUUCGUCUCUGCACUGGAGAUAGACCUUGAAGUGAGCCAUUGAUGUUCCCUCUUCACUUUGCCCUUCUGGAAGCAGGUCAUAUAGCUGUAUUAAAAACAAACAAAAAUGUACACACUAACAGUCAAAAGUUUUUUUCCAGUUUGGCUGAGGUCAUGGGACAGAAACUCACUCCUUCAUAAACACUGUGUCCUGUCUUUAAUUUACUACAUUUCUUGCAGUACUAUACUUUGCUGGGCUUGUGCACACAGACUGUUUGAAGAAACAGACAGAUAUUCCUUGUAUCUUGUGUACCCCAAAGCCAACAAGGUGUAGGUGUCCCUGAUCACGUUAAGGGAGUGAGGUUCCACCUCUACUGCCCUCUGGGAACAGGCUGCCAUACCUGUUCAGGUGGUUGAGAUAAUGCUAUAUAAUGUGUUGCAAUGUGGAUUGAUUUACGGUGUGUACGUGUCAUCAUACAAGAUACUUAUUUCCAUUAAAACAUUUACCAAUUUAAGCAGUCCUGGUUUGCCAUCUUGGGAGACAACUAUGUCUUUACUAGCUGUCUCAUUAAGUACAUCAGAUUGAACUGUACAAUAUGGAUUGUUUGAGUCUAAGCUUUGUGAAU